rnacentral:rRNA from 1 species
GUGAACUGCGGAAGGAUAUUGUCAAAUCCUUGUACCGAAUGACCCGCGAACGCGUUCCGAAGACGAUGAAGCGCUGCUGCGCCCUUGCUCGGUCGGCCGGCGGCUCGGUCACUUGCCGCCGGACGCGCCGAGCAUCGAAAACAAAAUCCGGCGCGGGAAGCGCCAAGGACCAUAGCGAAACAGAGAAGAGGGGACGGCCUACUUCCCGCGGUGCGGGGACUAAAGGGGUCUCUCCGAACGAAAGAGAACAUUAUACGACUCUCGGCAACGGAUAUCUAGGCUCUCGCAUCGAUGAAGAACGUAGCAAACUGCGAUAGUUGGUGUGAAUUGCAGAAUCCCGUGAACCAUGGAGUCUUUGAACGCAAGUUGCGCCCGAAGCCAUUAGGCCGAGGGCACGUCUGCCUGGGCGUCACGCACUGCGUCGUCCCCCCCUCGCCCGCGUCCCGAAGGGGGUCGCGGGCCCUUAUCGUGGGGACGGAAGUUGGCUUCCCGUGCAGCGUUCGCGGCUAGCCCGAAACACGGCUCCCUCGCCGCGGAGGUCGCGACAAGUGGUGGUCGUCGAGAUUGUACGCGAGUUGCCGGCAAGCUGCGGCGAGGAGAGCGUUUCUGUACCCCGUGCGAGAAUGAGUCCCUCGGCGAGAGGGGCGAUUCCGAGGAUUGCGACCCCAGGUCAGCGGGGUACCCGCUGAU